GUUCCUUUCUCCUUCUCAGGUAUAAAAGAGUGGCUCUUUUUUGCAUGUGUCUAAAUAGAGACAAGUGGAAACUAGGGGAUUCUUCUGAUGUGUGAUGAAUAUGAACAUUUAUGUAUGCAUUCCAUGUGGGAACAAGACCUAGACACCGGUGGACAGCAGCAUGCAGCUUAAAAGCACGUGAUCCUUAAAUGAAGAUUUUGAAAAGAGUGGGGGAGGAAAGGCAGUGAAGAGGGAAGUCAAGACGGACUUAUUCCUGCUUGAUUUCAAGAUGAAAAGACUGUUCAUCCCUGAAAAUUCCACGGGGAAUCAGAGGGAGGGAGAGAAACAAGUCCUUGUUUGUACAGAACUGUUCACAAAUGUUAUAUCAUGGGGUCAGAUUCACAUACUGGGUAAACCUUGAAGAAAAAAUUCCCAAGGGAUUCCAUAGGAUGUGAAGCAGGCCAAAAACUUUGUUACUUGUCUUUUUGUCCCGUGAGACCUACACAUCAACAGUUUUAAAACAGAAAAGUAGGAUAGUUAGUACCUUUGAAGGGCCACUCCAGAUGUCUAGGUCCAACUAAAUUUGUCUACAAAUUUCUAUGGUUAUUUAUAGCUUCUUUUUUAUAGCUUUAGGAUCUUCAGUAAGGCUGAGACUUAAGGGAGCUGUUUCAGAUCCAGGAGAAAUCAUAGAAAUGUGUACGUGUUCCUACUAGUCUAAUCCUAUCCCCAAGGCCAAAUAGGGUGGUGCAGUAUGUGUGGCUUAUUUUUCAUAGCUCCAGGAAGGACAAGUGAAGAUUCAGGAUGAAACAGAACUAAGUCUGGCUAGGCUAGUGACAAACACUUAAAUUACCUAAGUCAUAGAUUAACCAGUAAAAAAUGAUUUCUGCUCCCAGCUCAUACCUACUGGGACCAGAUGAUAAUGAUGGUGAUGACGAUAAUAAUGAUGAUGAUGUCAAUAUUUUUUGAGUAUUUGCUAUGUACCAAAAGUCUUUUGCACUACUCAAAAGACCUGACAUACAUUGUUUUAUUAAAUUCUCACAAUAAUCCUAUAUGGUAGCCUUUGCUAUUCCUGUUGUAAAGAUGAAGAAACAGAGGUUCAGUAAAUUCAAUUAACUUGUUCA